rnacentral:rRNA from 1 species
GACAGAGGAUGCAAGUGUUGUCCGUAUUAUUGGGCGUAAAGCGUUUGUAGAUGGUUUUUUAAGUUUUUUGUUAAAGAUUUUAAGGAAACUUAACUAUAUUUCAAAAAAUACUAAAAUUCUAGAGAAUAAUAAAAAGGUAAAGAAUUAUUUCAAUGUAGUAGUAAAAUGCGCCAAUAUUGAAAAGAUUACCAAAGGCGAAAGCACUUUACUCGUUUAAUUCUGACAUUGAGAAACGAAAGCUAAGGGAGCAAAUGGG